rnacentral:tmRNA from 1 species
GGGGAUGACCGGAUUUGACAGCAAGUCCAAUAAAAUACUAAGCAUGUCGAGAUUUCAUAUACUUGCUCGAAAUAAAGUAUAUAAAAUUUUUAAAUGGCGAAAAUAAUUACGCUUUAGCUGCUUAAUAAUAUAUUAAAUAGCUUUUGUUCCUUUUUAGGUAUGUUCAACACCUAAAAAACGAACAUCAUAAAGUUGAACUAGCCUUAAAGUAACCUGGACUUUAAAGUAAAAAUUACAGGAUAAGGUGCAUUUUGGUUGUGUUAUAGCAGAAUGUACACGAAAAUCAAAUAACACUAAACAUGUAGAAAUUUAUUUUAUUUCUUGUUUGGACCAGGGUUCGAUUCCCUGCAUCUCCACAA